UGUGUGUUGUUUUUCAGGCACAUCUUUGACCCACGCUUCUCUCGGCCUCUGCUCAUGGUCGGGGAUAUUGUUCUUGAUCUGUAUCAGCAGGUUCUUCACCAGUCACCUGUAGUCGAGCGGCAGCUGCAGCGUCUUAUGGAGGUGUUGGGUCGGGAAGCAGAACUUCAGCAAGAGCUUCUACAGGUCUUGGGAAUCCUGGACACACUUUUCGCAUCCCUGACCCCCAGAAAAGAGGUCGCAGCCCUUGCUGCCCUACCAGUAGAUCAGGGGCCACAGCUACAAGCCGCCUGACACUCAUUACAAAACACUCGUGACACAACCGAAACAUGCUGGACGUUGGCGUGGUGAAAAAAGGAAAGGGAAAACGGAAGGAAACAAACAUGAGAGGCAGCUGUGGGAAAAAACGUUGCCCAAUGUCACUGAAUAAUCUUUGUGUCAGUGUGUCCUCUGUUUCUGCUGAUGUUUGCAGAAUUUGAAACUGUAUUUUGUACAUUCUUAUCAUAAAAUCUUCAAAUCUAUGUGUUUUGGUUUAUUUCUUUCUGUAAUAAUAAAACAAAUGUCAAUUGCAA